rnacentral:rRNA from 1 species
UACGUAGGGUGCGAGCGUUAUCCGGAAUGAUUGGGCGUAAAGCGUCUGUAGGUGGCUUUUUAAGUCCGCCGUCAAAUCCCAGGGCUCAACCCUGGACAGGCGGUGGAAACUACCAAGCUGGAGUACGGUAGGGGCAGAGGGAAUUUCCGGUGGAGCGGUGAAAUGCGUAGAGAUCGGAAAGAACACCAACGGCGAAGGCAAUCCCCUGGGCCUGCACUGACGCUCAUGCACGAAAGCGUGGGGAGCAAACAGG